AGAUUGAACGCUAGCGGGAUGCUUUACACAUGCAAGUCGAACGGCAGCGCGGACUUCGGUCUGGCGGCGAGUGGCGAACGGGUGAGUAAUAUAUCGGAACGUGCCCAGUAGCGGGGGAUAACUACGCGAAAGCGUGGCUAAUACCGCAUACGCCCUACGGGGGAAAGGGGGGGAUCGCAAGACCUCUCACUAUUGGAGCGGCCGAUAUCAGAUUAGCUAGUUGGUGAGGUAAAGGCUCACCAAGGCGACGAUCUGUAGCUGGUUUGAGAGGACGACCAGCCACACUGGGACUGAGACACGGCCCAGACUCCCUAGGGAGCAGCAGUGGGGAAUUUGGACAAGUGGGGGAAACCUGAUCCAGCCAUCCCGCGUGUGCGAUGAAGGCCUUGGUGUAAGCUAGUUUCGGCAAGGAAGAACGGACGUGACCUAAUACGGAGGUC
rnacentral:rRNA from 1 species